UUUAUGUCGAUCUUUAUUGAAUAAUAAUAAUAAUUUAUUUUUCCAUCAUGAGCAGGGAUUUUGAUGUCUACAUUUGACAUGAAGGAUGAAUCCAAGGAAGUGAUUUGGCAAGGUGAGAUUGGUGGAGUAUAUGCGGCUUUGGAUACAUUCAAGGCUGAAAAGGCAUUUCCUAUGUGCAAACUCACACGUUUGUUGCGUGAUUCAUUGGGUGGGAGGACUAAGACAUGUAUAAUUGGUGCGCCUGUCAAAAUUGGACUGGGCCUGUCCUGUUCAUUUGGUGGACUUAAAAAUAGGCCCGUGUUUGACUUGCAGGCCUAAAAUUAGAUCAAGUUGGGACCAUGGGGGCCAGGUUCGUACAGGACUUGUCUCUAUGGGAACUGCACCAAAAUAUGUUGGUAGUGGGAGGAAUUCUAAUACUGGAAAGGAUAAUGGGGUCAAUCAAAGCACCGACAGAGGCCUUACAUCCACCUCUUCACCAGUUUCGCAGGACAGAGAAAAUAA